rnacentral:rRNA from 1 species
CCUACGGGAGGCAGCAGUGAGGAAUAUUGGUCAAUGGGCGGAAGCCUGAACCAGCCAAGUAGCGUGCGGGAUGAAGGCCCUACGGGUCGUAAACCGCUUUUGCACGGGGAUAACACCCUCCACUUGUGGAGGUCUGCAGGUACCGUGCGAAUAAGGGCCGGCUAAUUCCGUGCCAGCAGCCGCGGUAAUACGGAAGGCCCGAGCGUUAUCCGGAUUCAUUGGGCUUAAAGGGAGCGUAGGCGGGCGUUCAAGUCAGCUGUAAAAGCGCGCGGCUCAACCUCGCACCGCAGUUGAAACUGGACGCCUUGAGUGCACAACAGGCAGGCGGAAUUCGUGGUGUAGCGGUGAAAUGCAUAGAUAGCACGAGGAACCCCGAGUGCGAAGGCAGCCUGCCGGGGUGCGACUGACGCUGAGGCUCGAAGGUGCGGGUAUCAAACAGGAUUAGAUACCCGGGUAGUC